AGCGGCGGACUGGUGAGUAACGCGUGGGUGAUCUACCUCGGGGUUGGGGAUAGCCAUUAGAAAUAGUGGGUAAUACCGAAUACGCUCCCCUGACUGCGGUCAGGGGAGGAAAAGCGCUACGGCGCUGACCUGAGAUGAGCCCGCGUCCCAUUAGCUAGUUGGUGAGGUAACGGCCCACCAAGGCUAUGAUGGGUAGGCGGCCUGAGAGGGUGUACGCCCACACUGGGACUGAGAUACGGCCCAGACUCC
rnacentral:rRNA from 1 species